rnacentral:rRNA from 1 species
AACGAACGCUGGCGGCAUGCCUAACACAUGCAAGUCGAACGAGACCUUCGGGUCUAGUGGCGCACGGGUGCGUAACGCGUGGGAACCUGCCCUUAGGUUCGGAAUAACUCCCCGAAAGGGGUGCUAAUACCGGAUAAUGUCUUCGGACCAAAGAUUUAUCGCCUUUGGAUGGGCUCGCGUUGGAUUAGCUAGUUGGUAGGGUAAAAGCCUACCAAGGCGACGAUCCAUAGCUGGUCUGAGAGGAUGGUCAGCCACACUGGGACUGAGACACGGCCCAGACUCCUACGGGAGGCAGCAGUGGGGAAUAUUGGACAAUGGGCGAAAGCCUGAUCCAGCAAUGCCGCGUGAGUGAUGAAGGCCUUAGGGUUGUAAAGCAAUUUUACACGGGAUGAUAAUGACAGUACCGGGAGAAUAAGCUCCGGCUAACUCCGUG